CCUACGGGAGGCAGCAGUGGGGAAUAUUGGACAAUGGGGGGAACCCUGAUCCAGCCAUGCCGCGUGUGUGAAGAAGGCCUUUUGGUUGUAAAGCACUUUAAGCGAGGAGGAGGCUACUCUAGUUAAUACCUAGG
rnacentral:rRNA from 1 species